ACGUCCUACGGGAGAAAGCAGGGGACCUUCGGGCCUUGCGCUAUCAGAUGAGCCUAGGUCGGAUUAGCUAGUUGGUGGGGUAAUGGCUCACCAAGGCGACGAUCCGUAACUGGUCUGAGAGGAUGAUCAGUCACACUGGAACUGAGACACGGUCCAGACUCCUACGGGAGGCAGCAGUGGGGAAUAUUGGACAAUGGGCGAAAGCCUGAUCCAGCCAUGCCGCGUGUGUGAAGAAGGUCUUCGGAUUGUAAAGCACUUUAAGUUGGGAGGAAGGGCAUUAACCUAAUACGUUAGUGUUUUGACGUUACCGACAGAAUAAGCACCGGCUAACUCUGUGCCAGCAGCCGCGGUAAUACAGAGGGUGCAAGCGUUAAUCGGAAUUACUGGGCGUAAAGCGCGCGUAGGUGGUUCGUUAAGUUGGAUGUGAAAGCCCCGGGCUCAACCUGGGAACUGCAUUCAAAACUGUCGAGCUAGAGUAUGGUAGAGGGUGGUGGAAUUUCCUGUGUAGCGGUGAAAUGCGUAGAUAUAGGAAGGAACACCAGUGGCGAAGGCGACCACCUGGACUGAUACUGACACUGAGGUGCGAAAGCGU
rnacentral:rRNA from 1 species